rnacentral:rRNA from 1 species
UACGUAGGCGGUCCUUUAAGUCAGAAGUGAAAGGCAGUGGCUCAACCAUUGUAAGCUUUUGAAACUGGGGGACUUGAGUGUUGGAGAGGAAAGCGGAAUUCCUAGUGUAGCGGUGAAAUGCGUAGAUAUUAGGAGGAACACCAGUGGCGAAGGCGGCUUUCUGGACAAAUACUGACGCUGAGGAACGAAAGCGUGGGGAGCGAACAGGAUUAGAUACCCUGGUAGUCC